CGAGAUAUGGCACGGCAGUUGUAGAUGAAGCAGCAUUGCAGUAUACAGUUCCUCGGUUAACAAAACCCCUCUGGUAUUUUGGUAAGGUAUGCAUUUGCAUGGAGGAUAAGCUAGUCCAUGCCAACUUCCCUCCACAGAAGGGAAGCGAGUUGUGGGUAUAAGGGGCACAACAGUCCCUUCGGUAUUGGGUCCCGAACAGCCUAUUCUGUGCUACAAAAACAUUUUGGACAAUCUUCCCCGACAU
rnacentral:misc_RNA from 1 species